UCCUCGUCGGUUAUUGCCUCAUUUUGGU
rnacentral:piRNA from 1 species